rnacentral:rRNA from 1 species
GAGGACCUUUGAAGGCGCGCCUAACACAUGCAAGUCGAACGAGAGAGAGGGAGCUUGCUUCCUCGAUCGAGUGGCGAACGGGUGAGUAACGCGUGAGGAACCUGCCUCAAAGAGGGGGACAACAGUUGGAAACGACUGCUAAUACCGCAUAAGCCCACAACCCGGCAUCGGGAAGAGGGAAAAGGAGUAAUCCGCUUUGAGAUGGCCUCGCGUCCGAUUAGCUAGUUGGUGAGGUAACGGCCCACCAAGGCGACGAUCGGUAGCCGGACUGAGAGGUUGAACGGCCACAUUGGGACUGAGACACGGCCCAGACUCCUACGGGAGGCAGCAGUGGGGAAUAUUGCACAAUGGGGGAAACCCUGAUGCAGCGACGCCGCGUGGAGGAAGAAGGUCUUCGGAUUGUAAACUCCUGUUGUUGAGGAAGAUAAUGACGGUACUCAACAAGGAAGUGACGGCUAACUACGUGCCAGCAGCCGCGGUAAAACGUAGGUCACAAGCGUUGUCCGGAAUUACUGGGUGUAAAGGGAGCGCAGGCGGGCGAUCAAGUUGGAAGUGAAAUCCAUGGGCUCAACCCAUGAACUGCUUUCAAAACUGGUCGUCUUGAGUAGUGCAGAGGUAGGCGGAAUUCCCGGUGUAGCGGUGGAAUGCGUAGAUAUCGGGAGGAACACCAGUGGCGAAGGCGGCCUACUGGGCACCAACUGACGCUGAGGCUCGAAAGUGUGGGUAGCAAACAGGAUUAGAUACCCUGGUAGUCCACACCGUAAAACGAUGAUUAUUAGGUGUGGGGAGAAUGACCCUCUCAGUGCCGCAGUUAACACAAUAAGUAAUCCACCUGGGGAGUACGACCGCAAGGUUGAAACUCAAAGGAAUUGACGGGGGCCCGCACAAGCAGUGGAGUAUGUGGUUUAAUUCGACGCAACGCGAAGAACCUUACCAAGUCUUGACAUCCCUUGACGAUGCUGGAAACAGUAUUUCUCUUCGGAGCAAGGAGACAGGUGGUGCAUGGUUGUCGUCAGCUCGUGUCGUGAGAUGUUGGGUUAAGUCCCGCAACGAGCGCAACCCUUAUGGUCAGUUACUACGCAAGAGGACUCUGGCCAGACUGCCGUUGACAAAACGGAGGAAGGUGGGGAUGACGUCAAAUCAUCAUGCCCUUUAUGACUUGGGCUACACACGUACUACAAUGGCGUUAAACAAAGAGAAGCAAGACCGCGAGGUGGAGCAAAACUCAGAAACAACGUCCCAGUUCGGACUGCAGGCUGCAACUCGCCUGCACGAAGUCGGAAUUGCUAGUAAUCGUGGAUCAGCAUGCCACGGUGAAUACGUUCCCGGGCCUUGCACA